rnacentral:rRNA from 1 species
UAGGGAAUCUUCCGCAAUGGACGCAAGUCUGACGGAGCAACGCCGCGUGAGUGAAGAAGGAUUUCGGUUCGUAAAACUCUGUUGUUAGAGAAGAACAGCGCAUAGAGUAACUGUUAUGCGUGUGACGGUAUCUAACCAGAAAGCCACGGCUAACUACGUGCCAGCAGCCGCGGUACUACGUAGGUGGCAAGCGUUGUCCGGAUUUAUUGGGCGUAAAGCGAGCGCAGGCGGUCAAUUAAGUCUGAUGUGAAAGCCCCCGACUCAACCGGGGAGGGUCAUUGGAAACUGGUUGACUUGAGUGCAGAAGAGGAGAGUGUAUUUCCGUGUGUAGCGGUGAAAUGCGUAGAUAUAUGGAGGAACACCAGUGGCGAAGGCGACUCUCAGGUCUGUAACUGACGCUGAGGCUCGAAAGCGUGGGUAGCAAACAGG